rnacentral:rRNA from 1 species
AUGAGGCAUCUAGUAGAGGCGAUGGGGUCGUUUGAGGUGCAGGAAUUUGCAGCGAUGUGCCUCCUACAGGAGCAGGUGGAGGGGAUCGUAGAAAUUCGGGCGAGGAUUGACAGGUUGGAUAGCAAGUUUGAGGAACAGGUGGCUCGGCUCGAUCAGGUCCAAUUGAAGGUAAACCUACGUGUGAGCUCGCUUGGGGACAUCCAUCAGGACGAGGUUCAUGUGGCCCGAGUGCUCAAGGAAUCCGCUAGCGUUCGAGAGGAUGGCCACGCCAGGGUGUUUUGCAAGUUCACCCACGGCGGCAGCAGCACAGGUAAGAGGGUCGACAUCAAAGAAACAAGACCAUCCUCCUCCUCCCGUGGAUCCAGGCAAGGCACCUCACACCCCCACAGUAUUCCUCUUCGUCUGAUGAGCAUGGGUCGAGGCGUCCAUGGAUGCCGAAAAUGGAAUUUCCAAAGUUUGAUGGGGAGGGUGUUCGUAUUUGGCUUGACAAUUGUGAGGCCUAUAUUUAGUUAUAUCAGAUUCCUGAAAGUUUUAAAGUAA